UACAAAGACCUUACCUUAAGCAAUUCUUGAUAAUCUUGCAUGAGACUUUGAUGCUUGAACCUGGCUCUAGCAUCCUCAUCAACCAUAUACAAAGGAGAAGAAUCCAUCGCAACCCUCUUCAUCUUCUUCAACAUGACAUACCAGAGAGAAAGCAAAGCAAUGGAAAGGGAUGACAGAGGAGGCCACUGUGUUU